GUGGCUAUAGUUCAGUUGGUUAGAACGCCAGAUUGUGGAUCUGGAGGUCACGGGUUCGAGCCCCGUUAGCCACC
rnacentral:tRNA from 1 species